rfam:Felis catus isolate Cinnamon breed Abyssinian chromosome A3, whole genome shotgun sequence.
GCCUGGGUGGCUCAGCCGGUUAAGCGUCUGACUUCAGCUCAGGUCAUGAUCUCCCGGUUCGUGAGUUCAAGCCCCACAUCGGGCU